GGCUGGGGCGGCACAUCUGUCAAACGAUAACGCAGGUGUCCUAAGGUGAGCUCAAUGAGAAUACUAAGUGAUUAUAACGAUCCUCGCGCGCUAGAAUGAGAAAUAACAGAGGUUACUAUGG
rnacentral:rRNA from 1 species